rnacentral:ncRNA from 1 species
CACGCUGAUCCUGUCACCGCUGCUGCCGGCGGUGGUGACGGGCGCACAGCGGUGCCGCUGGAUCCGUCGCCGCUGUUCCUGACCACGCGUCCGGAGCAGCGAACGGUCGGACCAGCGGACUCGGAGCGCGCACGCUGCUACCCGAAAGAUGGUGAACUAUGCAUGAGCAGGACGAAGCCAGAGGAAACUCUGGUGGAAGUUCGUAGCGGUGUUGACGUGCAAAUCACUCGCCCGACUUGUGCAUAGGGGCGAAAGACUAAUCGAACCAUUUAGUAGCUGGUUCCUUCCGAAGUUUCCCUCAGGAUAGCUGGCGUUCGCAUGCAGUUUUAUCCGGUAAAGCGAAUGAUCAGAGGUAUUGGGGACGCAAUGUCCUCAUCCUAUUCUCAAACUUUGAAUGGGUAAGAAGGCCGAUUUGCCUUGAGAAAUCGUGCCCAGCCGGAAUGCGUCGAACGGCUAGUGGGCUAGUUUUGGUAAGCAGAACUGACGAUGUGGGAUGAACCGAACGUCAGGUUACGGUGCCCAAUGUUCGGUGCUCAUCAGACACCAUGAAAGGUGUUGGUCGAUAUAGACAGCAGGACGGUGGCCAUGGAAGUUGGAAUCCGCCAAGGAGUGUGUAACAACUCACCUGCCGAAUCGACUAGCCCUGAAAAUGGAUGGCGCUCGAGCGCCGAGCCUGUACCUGACCGCCUGGGCAACGUUGUUGUCGGUCUCGCGCGUGCACUUGCUGCGGACGCUUGAAGGCCAAGGCGUGUAGGAAGAGGUCGCGACGGUGCGCGUUGAAGGUGUCGAGCGAGAGCUCGCCUGGAGCCGCCGUCGGUGCAGAUCUUGGUGGCAGUAGCAAUUAUUCAAGUGAGAACCUUGAAGGCCGAAGUGGAGAAGGGUUCCAUGUGAACAGCAAUUGCACAUGGGUCAGUCGAUCCUGAGAACGAGGCGAAAGCCCAAGCGCAACGGUGUGACGUCGUUCCUGACUUGUUCGCCGUAGCUAGCAGCACGCCGUACCGUUCGAAAGGGAAUCCGGUUGAAAUUCCGGAACCGAGACACGAAGAUGUACACCCGCGUCUCCGGUUGUCGCUUCCGCGGCCGCGGCGCCUCGUCGCCGCUGUCCGCUCGGUUUGCCCGACUGGAAGCACGCGGGACUGGUGCGCGCGGUAACGCCUCCGAACUCGGCGAGCAGCCGUCGGCAGUUCCGGAAAGAGUUUUCUUUUCUUCAUAAGGCACGCAGUCGCUGGAACCGGGUUGUCCGGAGAUAGCGACGAUGUCGCCGCAAAACGCCGCGUCUCCCGUGGCGUUCGGAACGCUCUCGACGGUCCGUGAAAAGCCGAGCUACGCCGUAUAAAUUCGUGCUCGCUCGUACCCAUAUCCGCAGCAGGUCUCCAAGGUGAACAGCCUCUGGCCAAUUGAACAAUGCAGAUAAGGGAAGUCGGCAAAACGGAUCCGUACCUUCGGAACAAGGAUUGGCUCUAAGGGCUGAACCGGUCGGGCUGAUGCUUCGAAGCGUGUUUGGUGCGGUCGCUGACUGCCGGUCCGAGGAGCUGCGCUUGCCCGGCGUCGCGUUCUCGCCGGCUGGGCGCGAGCGUGCGCGUGGCUUGUCCGCGCCGCGCCGUUGCUGCCGGACGUCUGCUACGCGUAGUCGAGGCGCUUCUUCUGAAGCCGCAGUCGGUAACGAAGCCUGCGCGCGGACGACUUCAGCUGUGUGCGCUUGUCCUGCUCGCGACAAGCCACUUCGUCCGGCAUUGAACAGCCGACUUAGAACUGGCACGGACACGAGGAAUCGGACUGUAUAAUUAAAACAAAGCAUUGCGACGGCCGGUGAUCGGUGUUGACGCAAUGUGAUUUCUGCCCAGUGCUCUGAAUGUCAAAGUGAAGAAAUUCAACCAAGCGCGGGUAAACGGCGGGAGUAACUAUGACUCUCUUGACUAAAGCUGCUGGAACAUCUCGAUAAAACAGCCACAGGUUGAACAGUAAAACAAGCUCAGCGUCCGUGAGGCUGCGCACAUGAUCUACAGUCACUCUAUCUGGCCCUGACGCUGAUUUUCGU